rnacentral:rRNA from 1 species
AGCAGCCGCGGUAAUUCCAGCUCCAAUAGCGUAUAUUAAAGUUGUUGCAGUUAAAAAGCUCGUAGUUGAAUUUCGGGAUUGGCGCAUCGGUCGUGCCUCACGGGGUAUGAACUGGUGCAGUCAAUUUCUCACCUUCUGGAGAACCGCGAUGUCCUUAAUUGGGUGCCGCGGGGAACCAGGACCUUUACUUUGAAAAAUUAGAGUGUUUAAAGCAGGCAUUUUUGCUUGAAUACAUUAGCAUGGAAUAAUAAAAUAGGACGGCAUGGUUCUAUUUUGUUGGUUUCUAGGACCACCGUAAUGAUUAAUAGGGAUAGUUGGGGGCAUUAGUAUUCAAUUGUCAGAGGUGAAAUUCUUGGAUUUAUUGAAGACUAACUACUGCGAAAGCAUUUGCCAAGGAUGUUUUCAUUAAUCAAGAACGAAAGUUAGGGGAUCGAAGACGAUCAGAUACCG